GAUGAACGCUAUCGGCAGGCCUAAUACAUGCAAGUCGAGGGGUAGAGAGAGCUUGCUUUCUUGAGACCGGCGCACGGGUGCGUAACGCGUAUGCAACCUACCUUUAUCUGGGGGAUAGCCCGGAGAAAUCCGGAUUAAUACCGCAUAAAAUCACAGAAUAGCAUUAUUUAAUGAUCAAACAUUUAUGGGAUGAAGAUGGGCAUGCGUGUCAUUAGCUAGUUGGCGGGGUAACGGCCCACCAAGGCGACGAUGACUAGGGGAUCUGAGAGGAUGGCCCCCCACACUGGUACUGAGACACGGACCAGACUCCUACGGGAGGCAGCAGUAAGGAAUAUUGGUCAAUGGAGGCAACUCUGAACCAGCCAUGCCGCGUGCAGGAAGACUGCCCUAUGGGUUGUAAACUGCUUUUAUCCGGGAAUAAACCUUUCUACGUGUAGGAAGCUGAAUGUACCGGAAGAAUAAGGAUCGGCUAACUCCGUGCCAGCAGCCGCGGUAAUACGGAGGAUCCAAGCGUUAUCCGGAUUUAUUGGGUUUAAAGGGUGCGUAGGCGGCCUGUUAAGUCAGGGGUGAAAGACGGUAGCUCAACUAUCGCAGUGCCCUUGAUACUGAUGGGCUUGAAUGGACUAGAGGUAGGCGGAAUGAGACAAGUAGCGGUGAAAUGCAUAGAUAUGUCUCAGAACACCGAUUGCGAAGGCAGCUUACUAUGGUCUUAUUGACGCUGAGGCACGAAAGCGUGGGGAUCAAACAGGAUUAGAUACCCUGGUAGUCCACGCCCUAAACGAUGAACACUCGCUGUUGGCGAUACACAGUCAGCGGCUAAGCGAAAGCGUUAAGUGUUCCACCUGGGGAGUACGCCCGCAAGGGUGAAACUCAAAGGAAUUGACGGGGGCCCGCACAAGCGGAGGAGCAUGUGGUUUAAUUCGAUGAUACGCGAGGAACCUUACCCGGGCUCGAAAGUUAGUGAAUGAUCUAGAGAUAGAUCAGUGAGCAAUCACACGAAACUAGGUGCUGCAUGGCUGUCGUCAGCUCGUGCCGUGAGGUGUUGGGUUAAGUCCCGCAACGAGCGCAACCCCUAUGUUUAGUUGCCAGCAUGUAAUGAUGGGGACUCUAAACAGACUGCCUGUGCAAACAGAGAGGAAGGAGGGGACGACGUCAAGUCAUCAUGGCCCUUACGUCCGGGGCUACACACGUGCUACAAUGGAUGGUACAGAGGGCAGCUAGCUGGCAACAGUAUGCGAAUCUCACAAAGCCAUUCACAGUUCGGAUUGGGGUCUGCAACUCGACCCCAUGAAGUUGGAUUCGCUAGUAAUCGCGUAUCAGCAAUGACGCGGUGAAUACGUUCCCGGGCCUUGUACACACCGCCCGUCAAGCCAUGGAAGUUGGGGGUACCUAAAGUAUGUAACCGCAAGGAGCGUCCUAGGGUAAAACCGAUAACUGGGGCU
rnacentral:rRNA from 1 species